AGUGAACGCUGGCGGUAGGCCUAACACAUGCAAGUCGAACGGCAGCACAGUAAGAGCUUGCUCUUACGGGUGGCGAGUGGCGGACGUGUGAGGAAUACAUCGGAAUCUACUUUUUCGUGGGGGAUAACGUAGGUAAACUUACGCUAAUACCGCAUACGACCUACGGGUGAAAGCAGGGGAUCUUCGGACCUUGCGCGAUUGAAUGAGCCGAUGUCGGAUUAGCUAGUUGGCGGGGUGAAGGCCCACCAAGGCGACGAUCCGUAGCUGGUCUGAGAGGAUGAUCGGCCACACUGGAACUGGAACACGGUCCAGACUCCUGCGCGAGGCAGCAGUGGGGAAUAUUGGACAAUGGGCGCAAGCCUGAUCCAGCCAUACCGCGUGGGUGGAGAAGGCCUUCGGGUUGUAAAGCCCUUUUGUUGGGAAAGAAAAGCAGCAGGUUAAUACCCCGCUGUUCUGACGGUACCCAAAGAAUAAGCACCGGCUAACUUCGUG
rnacentral:rRNA from 1 species